CCUACGGGCGGCAGCAGUGAGGAAUAUUGGUCAAUGGACGCAAGUCUGAACCAGCCAUGCCGCGUGCAGGAAGACGGCUCUAUGAGUUGUAAACUGCUUUUGUACGAGGGUAAACGCAGAUACGUGUAUCUGUCUGAAAGUAUCGUACGAAUAAGGAUCGGCUAACUCCGUGCCAGCAGCCGCGGUAAUACGGAGGAUUCAAGCGUUAUCCGGAUUUAUUGGGUUUAAAGGGUGCGUAGGCGGUCGGAUAAGUUAGAGGUGAAAUCCCGAGGCUCAACUCUGGAAUUGCAGCUGAUACUGGUCGGCUAGAGAGUAGUAGCGGUAGGCGGAAUUCAUGGUGUAGCGGUGAAAUGCUUAGAGAUCAUGCAGAACACCGAUUGCGAAGGCAGCUUACCGGGCUACUUCUGACGUUGAGGCACGAAAGCGUGGGUAUCAAACAGGAUUAGAUACCCCGGUAGUC
rnacentral:rRNA from 1 species